GGGAGCCGAGUGAGGCGAGAGUCUCACGCUCGGUUCUUCGAGAGGCCGGUGGCGAAAUCCCACCGGCCUACUCACC
rnacentral:ncRNA from 1 species